AUUGAACGCUGGCGGCAUGCCUUACACAUGCAAGUCGAACGGCAGCACGGGUGCUUGCACCUGGUGGCGAGUGGCGAACGGGUGAGUAAUACAUCGGAACGUACCUUAUCGUGGGGGAUAACGCAGCGAAAGCUGUGCUAAUACCGCAUACGCCCUGAGGGGGAAAGCGGGGGAUCGCAAGACCUCGCGCGAUUAGAGCGGCCGAUGCCUGAUUAGUUUGUUGGUGGGGUAAAAGCCCACCAAGGCGACGAUCAGUAGCUGGUCUGAGAGGACGAUCAGCCACACUGGGACUGAGACACGGCCCAGACUCCUACGGGAGGCAGCAGUGGGGAAUUUUGGACAAUGGGGGCAACCCUGAUCCAGCGAUGCCGCGUGAGUGAAGAAGGCCUUCGGGUUGUAAAGCUCUUUUGUCAGGGAAGAAACACCGGCUCUAACACAGUCCGGGAAUGACGGUACCUGAAGAAUAAGCACCGGCUAACUACGUGCCAGCAGCCGCCGUAA
rnacentral:rRNA from 1 species